GAUGAACGCUGGCGGCGUGCUUAACACAUGCAAGUCGAACGAAGCACUUGAGAUUGAUUCUUCGGAAGAUUUCUCUUGUGACUUAGUGGCGGACGGGUGAGUAACGCGUGGGUAACCUGCCUCACACAGGGGGAUAACAGUUGGAAACGACCGCUAAUACCGCAUAACCCGCUAGGGCCGCAUGGCCCGGACGGAAAAGAUUUAUCGGUGUGAGAUGGACCCGCGUUGGAUUAGCUAGUUGGCAGGGUAACGGCCUACCAAGGCGACGAUCCAUAGCCGGCCUGAGAGGGUGAACGGCCACAUUGGGACUGAGACACGGGCCCAAAACUCCUACGGGAGGCAGCAGUGGGGAAUAUUGCACAAUGGAGGAAAACUCUGAUGCAGCGACGCCGCGUGAGUGAAGAAGUAUUCGGUAGUGUAAAGACUCUAUCAGCAGGGAAGAUAAUGACAGUACC
rnacentral:rRNA from 1 species